UAGUCCACGCCGUAAACGAUGGACACUAGUUGUUGGGAUUUAUCUCAGUGACUAAGCGAAAGUGAUAAGUGUCCCACCUGGGGAGUACGAUCGCAAGAUUGAAACUCAAAGGAAUUGACGGGGGCCCGCACAAGCGGUGGAGCAUGUGGUUUAAUUCGAUGAUACGCGAGGAACCUUACCAGGGCUUAAAUGUAGUAUGACAGGUUUAGAGAUAGACUUUUCUUCGGACAUAUUACAAGGUGCUGCAUGGUUGUCGUCAGCUCGUGCCGUGAGGUGUUGGGUUAAGUCCCGCAACGAGCGCAACCCUUGUCUUUAGUUGCCAUCAUUUAGUUGGGCACUCUAGAGAAACUGCCGGUGACAAACCGGAGGAAGGUAAGGAUGACGUCAAGUCAGCAUGCCCCUUACGCUCUGGGCUACACACGUGCUACAAUGGUCGUGACAAAGAGUUGCUAGUCUGCGAAGGCAAGCCAAUCUCAUAAACGCGGCCUUAGUUCGGAUUGCAGGCUGAAA
rnacentral:rRNA from 1 species